ACAAAUAGGGCAGUAUGACUGCUGACUGGGUACAAAUAGGGCAGUAUGACUGCUGACUGGUUACAGAUAGGGCAGUAUGACUGCUGACUGGGUACAAAUAGGGCAGUAUGACUGCUGACUGGUUACAGAUAGGUCAGUAUUACUGCUGACUGGGUACAGACAGGGUAGUAUGACAGCUGACUGGUUACAGAUAGGGUAGUAUGACUGCUGACAGCUGACUGGUUACAGAUAGGGUAGUAUGACUGCUGACAGCUGACUGGUUACAGAUAGGAGAGUAUGACUGCUGACUGGGUACAGAUAGGGAGGUAUGACAGCUGACUGGUUGCAGAUAGGUCAGUAUGACAGCUGACUGGGUACAGAUAGAGGGGUAUGACUGCUGACUGGUUACAGAUAGGCAGUAUGACUGCUGAAUGGGUACAGAUAGGAAGGUAUGACUGCUGACAGCUGACUGGUUACAGAUAGGGAGGUAUGACUGCUGACUGGGUACAAAUAGGGCAGUAUGACUGCUGACUGGUUACAGAUAGGCCAGUAUGACUGCUGACUGGGUACAGAUAGGG
ensembl:lncRNA